AAUUACAGUCAUCAGCGUCCUGAGUUUAUUACACCCCCAGCAAGACACACAAGAAAUGUAACUGGACUGAUGAUCAUCACAAAUCAGUCCAGAAAAAAAAAAAAAAUUCAAAACAUAUGCACGGGGAUCUUUUUUUUUUUUUUUCAAAGAAGCUCUGCCACAUGCAUUCCAAGAGGAACGUGGAAUUCAAGUUAGAGGGCUCUAAGUGGAAGAGAGAAGAGGCACAACCAUAUGAUUUGUGGUUGGAACAGAAAAAGGACGUCUGAUGUUCUCCUUCCUCCCCCUACCCUAAUGUUCGGCGCUUGGAGACGGACGGUCUGCUAAACUUAUCAUUUAACGUAGAGAAUCAAGUUGUUGAGACUGGCUUUUCUUCCAACCGGAUACCUGAAGGGUGGAGCAGGCGCCCCCUGUUCUGUCCCAGCAACCUACGAAGACUUCCGAACAGGAAGUAUUCAUCAAACAGAAAAGGAUAAAAAAUGAGUUUAUUCAUAAUGGCUAUUAUAGGCUCUGAUGUGUCAGUAACAUGCUGAAGGUGGGGCUCCCUGUGGUCCACGUUAAUCCACUACAGCUGAGGCUCAUUACCUGUGACGCCUUAGACAAGGACAAGGAGAUAAGAGAGGGAAGAAAAGGAAGAGAUUGAUCCACACGUACAGAAACACAAGCAUAUUCAUAACAAAUAAAGAAGGAAUACUCAUGACAGUCAUAGUCCUUGUUUCUGUAACUGGUCGCAUAGUCAUGGCUGGUAUUUAUAACUAUUUUAUGCCACUACCUAUUUGUUUUCAGGAAGCACCUCAACUGGUCACAGUGCUUUACCUAAUAGGGUUUCUCCCCAACAGGGGAGUAGUGGUCCUGUCUGGGCCAUUAGUUGUCCUGUCUGGAUUGGGUUGUUGUCUUUUUCCACUGACUUUAAUCACAGGGCCCGGUCAUACUAAGAGACUCCUUGAGGGAUCGCCUAUAUUCCAGACAGACUCUUCCUUACCUCCACUGUGGAGUAGCAGUCGAAUUUCUCCUUGGUCAUCAGGACCAGUCAUCCCAGCCAGCACAGUCCCUCCCUUCUUUGCCUGUUGAUUUUGGGGCACAAAGAGCCCAAGGAAGCUGAAUGGCAAUCUUAACUUCCAGUUCAAUGAAAUCGUUGUUGGGUCUUCCAGUGGAAGCAUUCCUCCCUUCGGAACCAAGGUUUUAGGCCAGCAAGGCAUCAAGUUGGGAAGACAGGAAGCAAAAAUGUUGCUUGUAGGUCGCUAGGGCACACAGGGAGUGGCGCCAGCACCAAUUCUACUCCUUGAUUUCGGAACCUGUGAAUCCCAGCUAUGGGAGAAGCAGCACCAUAUACUGGAUGCUGAUUCAGAGCACAUAUAGUCUCCUGGAAAACCUUGCCCCAGCCCUGCAAAGUAUUGCCAUCUAACUGGCACUGUAACUGCAUCUUCAAAAGGCCAUUCUACUAUUCUGUCAAGCCAGUUGCCUCAGGUUAUUAGGGAAUACGGUUAAGACCAGUCAAUUCCCUGAACAUGGGGCCCAGUGGCAUACUUCGUUUGCUCUAAAGCUAGUUCCUUGAUCAGAAGCAGUGCUGCAUGGAACACCCUGAUGGUGGAUGAGGCAUUCUGUGAGUCCACAGAUGAUUGUGUGGGGAGAAGCAUUGCAUACAGGAAGGGCAAAUCUGUAUCCAGAGUAACAAGAGUCUGCCCCUUCCAUGAUGGGGGGGUUGGAUGUAAUCGACCUGCCAGAUGGUUGGCUGAUCACCCUGGGGAAUGGUGGGACAUCAGAGGCUCCGGAUUGGUCUCUGCUACUAACAGAUUACGCACUUAGCCAUGGCUGUGGUUAGGUUGGCCUUGGUGAAUGGAAGUCCAUGUUGCUGAGCCCAUGUAUAACCUCCAUUUUUGCCACCAUGGCUAUUCAGUUCACUAGCCCUUUGACGACAGGGUGACUGGGAAGGAGGCUGACUGAUAUCCACAAAAUGAGUCAUAUUAUCCACUUGAUUAUUAAAAUCCUCCUCUCCUGAGAUCACCCUUUGGAAAUUACUCACAUGGCACGCAAAUAUCUUCACAUUUUUUUACUAUGCAGGGAAGUUUAUCCAUAUUACUCUUCCCCAGACUUUCUUGUCACCCAUUUUUAAAUCAUGCUCCUUCUGCUUACAAUUGCUUGACCAUCCUGCCAAAUCAUUAGCUGCCCUCCCAUGAAUGAGUAUAGAGUCCCAUGUCUGUCCAGUUCUCUUUCCAAGCAAAAUGAGCAACCAGGUGAAUUGCUCUUAACUUCUGCCCACUGAGAGGAUUUCCUUCACCACUAUCCUGCAGCAAUGUCCCAGAAAGGGACAAUAGCAUUGCAGCUAUCGACUUCCAUGAUUGUGUUUAUACAUGCCAGUAUCUCAGUGGUGUCAUUCAUAACACAAGGGUAUCACACACAAGCGUCAUCUCACACAGAAAUAUGAAAAUGCACUAACCCACUGACUUGGUUCUAAGCAUUUGGAUUGGUAUUUCCUGAGGAUUCAACAUCAUUUGCUGCUUUCUUAGUGCUUAGUAGACUUGAGUAUAUUCCACUAUUUUUAAAACAUUCCCAGCUAGCUUUGAUAUUUGGAUUGUGUUGCUUUUCUUGUAUGCCCACUCUCCUUUUAGCUAAUAAUUUACAAUACUUGUAAAUUAUCCGUAACCUUGUGAAAAUUGGGCACUGCCUCAAUUUACCAGGCAAAAUUCAAAGAAAUAUUAGUGAUGCCCUAACUAUAUUACUACUUGACCAUCCGUGUAACAUAUUUGAGUAAAUGUAUAGAAGGCAUUGUUUGGGCACUGGAUAAUUUUUUGUAGAAAAUUCAGAGGGUCACCUACAGCACAUUUUAUGUUUUAUUCAGUAGGACCACAACUUGGCAUUUCGAAUACUCCAUGUGCCAGGGUGUGGCACCUUAGUUCUUCUGAUGCCUAAAAAAGCCCCAAGAAAAUGUGACUGCUUGAUAUCUGUUACUUUUGGGAGGUGUCCAUUGUGAUUGCAUAAUCGGCUACUCCUAGAAUUUCAGGAGAUGUAGCAGGAACUUCAUUUUCCAUACAGCUUAUUCUGAAGUUUUGAAGCUCUUCCCCAGCCCCUGAAGACCCCCAAGAGGCUCAUGGUCUCAUCCCUGCUAGUAAUGACCCCUCAGCUAAGCAAGGAUUUUAGGAAUCUGUGCACAUGUUUACGCUUUUCUAGUAAUUUGAGACGCCAAAAAAGCGGGAUUAUUUGGUACUCUUGUCUUUCCUUACUUCCUAACAUAUGCAUCGCACAUUAAAUGUUCAGUCAAUUUUGGACAUAUUUAAUGAAUAAAUCUCUCUGCUGGGCCCACCAUAAAUUUUCCAGCGUAUCUAUUCGUCAGCUUUAAAACCCUAAGAUAAACAUUCAAAGCCACGAUCUUUUGCUCAGGUGACACAUUAUAGUGGGAGAUGUUCAUUCUAGUCUAGUUAGUGGGAGGAAAUUUAUUUUUGUUUUUUAUUGUUAUAUCCUGGAUCAGAACAAUGUUUAGCUGUCACAGCCAAAUUUUCUAACAGCAUAUGGUCUUAUUGUCAGACACUUUUGAUAGUACUAUCUGUUUUUGAGUUGUGAUUACCGAAUCCUUUUAACAAAUAAGACUGGUUGUCCCCAAAAAACUAUUUGAUGGUUUGGCUAAGAGUUUCAGAUGCAUUAACUACUUCUGGUGUGUGUGUGUGUGUGUGUGUGUGUGUGUGUGUGUGUGUGUCUGACGACAGCAACCUUGUUUCCUAAUCACCCCUUCACAACAGAUACAAAUAAAAUCUAAAAACAAAAAUGAAAAUAGGCUUUGUAUAAAA